rnacentral:tRNA from 1 species
GGCCUCAUAGCUCAGCACAAAGAGCGCCGGUCUGCGAAGCCGGAGGUCGCAGGUGGGAUUCCUGCUGAGGUCG